AGGGUUGAAGUCCUGGUUAAAAGGGAAAUGGAGGUUUCCCAUUACAGCGCAGUCCCCAGACCUGCUGUUUGCCUGCAAACUGCUGCGGGGAGUUCAAGGCUGCAGGGGAAGGUAGGUGAGCAAACUGCCACGUCUCAGCUCCCAGUGAAGGAAUGACUUGUGCUUGCAGCAACGCAGAACACAGCAGACACGGCUUGUCGGGAACUCCAGAGGAUCUGCUUUCUCCCCAUUUUUACAGAUGGGCAGAUUUAUGGUAUAAAGAGGUCUAGUAACAAGUCUGCAGCCACACGUCGCCUCAGUAGCUCUCCUGGAAGCUGCCUAAUGGCUCACUGAGUCUGUUCCUGAAGCGUCCUCUAGGAACAGAGAGCUCCUGCCCUGCUAGCAAGGCUGCCAAAAUGUCUUACGUAUCUGAAAUAAGGACUGGAGGAUAUUUCAACCACAACCAACCAGGCUGAAAGAAACGCAGACUGUUCUGUUCUUCUGCGGAAACUCGCUAGCGGGGGAAAAGCUGAAACUGGGGGAUUCCAAACCACGUGAAGAACAACUUCUUAAAAAAAAGCUUUGAAAUAUGAAUGAUACAGAAAAUAAAACAGCAUCGAGAGAAGAGUUGGGCACACACUUUCAGACUGUGUGCUCCAAACGUGAUGAAGAGGGGCUCAAAGCACAACAGGAGGAAACCAGAGGAAAAGAGAAAAACUCUUUGGAAACCAGCUGGGAAUGGUCUGUUCUUAUCAAAACACAUUGCUGACACAGAGCUGUCAUGGAGCCAACAUCUGCUCCCAACUCACGAGGCAGCGCGAGGCGUGCUGAGCAGCUCCGCACACUCAGACACAGGAGCCCAUUGCUGGCUUGGCAUGUUGGACGUCGAUGAGGAGAGCUUCUGAAAGCACCAGUGAGCUCAAAGGGAAGGAAACUUGCUCCUUUGAUGGAGAAUGUUAUUUUGACCUACUCACAGAUUUUCUCCACACAGAGGAGUAUCUUCCAUUGGGAGGCAAUUGAAAAAAUGCCUGAUCCUGGCCCCGUAACACAUAUGGUAGUGUCUACUAAAGCCAACAGGGGGGUUGCAUAUGGCAAGCCUGAAAAACUCAAGCUCGUUAACAUUACAGCAUAGUAUUAUCACUAUUUUGUGAUCAUAAGGAUCUGUCUCUUUCAUCCUGAUGAUUUAUUCAGUUGUCCCAUCUCAACUCCUAGGAGUAAAUUUAAUGUUAGUGGGAAGUACCAACCUCAGGAAAACCUUUGUCUCCCUCACUGUGCAAUAGGAGGGAUGCACUCCUGCUCACCCGCUCCUCCUGAAAACCUGAAAUCUGCCCAAGACCUUUAAUUCUAAAGGCUUUCACUGCCUUUUCCUGCUUCAAUCUCCAGCAUUUUCAGGGUACCAGAAAACAGUGAACAGGCUGAGACACAACCGCUAUGGAACAGAUUUGCUAUCUGCAACUCUCCCACCUAGGGCAAGACAUCAAACAGCUGUUUAAAUUGCUCUAAUCCAGACUCAAACAAAUGGAAAAGCCUGGUGUCAGUUUAGUAACGGUGCCACGCAAACAGGAGGAUGGAUUUCUCCCUAAAUAAGCUGAUGGGUGUCUCCCCAUCACUGCAACGUGCCCCAUUGUGCCGCAGUCCCUGACCCCACAGCAAGCAGAGAGCAACCAGAGCAAUCCUCCCAGUUCUGGAAGUGCCCGUGCCCCUGCAGCACUGCUCCUGCACAGGAGGAGCCCAGCGCUCACCAGGAAGAAAGGCCCACUACUGUGGCUUCUCAUCAGUCAGUGCAAAGUGAACUGUAACUCCGCACUGGGUUCUCCGCUCUCCACUCAGACGUGGCAGAUUUUGAGCUUGCCGCUCUAUUUCCGAAAUGGGAAGUGGGAAGGAAGCUGCUGAGUCAGGGGCCAAGAUGGCCAGCGCUCCUCCCAGGGGAACGCCACUCAUCCCCUGCGCUGCACCUGCGUGCCAUUGAUUCCUCGGGAUUCCCGUGCUUGUACAGUCUCAGGCUGUCAGGGCCACAUCGAUCUGUUUGGCAGCGGAGAACAGAAUGGAUAUAAUGGAGGCGAUCUGUAAGGUGCUGGUUGCUAUGGGUGGGUGAAGAUAAUAGUGCGUGAAAUAAGCAGCCCUCGGAACUUGAACUGGAGAGCUCAGCCCCCCACCCCUGCCCUCGGAAGAGAGGACGGUAAAGCUGCCGUGUGCAGCUAACGCAGGUGAGCAGAAAGAUAAUGAAUUCACAGGGUGUAAUAAACCUGAUGGAAACUGCCUUAAAAUAGACGUGUGGUAAUAACGAGUCCUCUUGCAACAUGGCGUGCUGAAGGAUGCUGUCCUCAUCAAACUGACAUUAUGUACGGCGGAGGAAAACAGAAGGAGAACAUAAAUGUAGAUACCUCGUAAACACCCACAACUAAGUCCCAAACAAGAGCAUCCUAUUAAAGACAAUGAUGCCGAACCCUUGAAAACAAAUGUAAAUUAGCACAACUGCCGGUCACGGUUUGCCAGGCAAGCUUCUGGUCAUUGUUAAGCUCUCCACGCAGCUGGAUAGCAGAGGGAAAGGGUCAGGAUAGAGACCGAUUUCCCUAUCAUUUCAGCACAUCACUCUCCAUGGAAGCACCCUGCUGACCGGCCUUCUCCCAGAACCUCGCAGCGAUUAGCACCAUGCUGUUUCUUACUGUGAAUUUGAACAAGAGUAGCACAAAGCUAUCAGCAGGGACUUCAGUGAUCAGAAACUGCUCAGCCAAUUUCCCCUAUCAUUUUUCUCUUGUCAAACAAAUGCCUAUUGUCACAGGGCCUGCUCUUGUGGCAUGGGGAGAGCUUCUGCAAAUUGCCGAGACCCCUGCCUCGCGAUUUUAAAUCCCUAAAAUGUUAGUUCUCACCUAAAGACUAGCAGAUGAGCAAAGGACCGGGAGCCAGGAUCCGUCGGCAGUAAUCCUGGCUAUUGAUGUGCAGCACCAGUGCCCUGCGCUCCCUGCUCCCACCCCGCUCCUCCCUGCUUGCCACAUAAGGAUGGAAAAUAGCAGCAUCUCUCCUCCCACAGGGUGAAGGGAAGCUCAGAUUUUUCAGGAUGCAAAGUGCUAACUUGUUAUUCAAGCUGCAGGUCUCAGUAUUGAAAUUAGAGGUAACAAAAGUAGGAAAACUGCUACUGCAGCCACCAAGAACAAGAGGCCGGCAAUGGAGACUUCCCAGGUAAAACAAGGAGGGCCUCCAUCUAGGUGCUUCAUAGGAAGAUUCCCCUUCACCUCUACAACACAUACUGCACCACUGCUGGUGGGUUUUUUCUUUGAGCAGAAACCUGUUCUGCCUGCAGCCCGCUCUGCCCCACAACGGUAAUGCCAUGCAUUGGUGUGAUGCCAUGGCUCAGCCACAGGGCUCUGCUGGAAGAGGAGAGAGGAGCAGCAGAUGGGCCAGGAAGUGUAUAGCCCUGAUUUAAUAACAAGUAUAUUUGAUAAUUAGCAGCAAUAAUAUAGGUUCUACGUGAAAACGUGGAAAGAUGAGUGUAUUUGGGCAAAGAUAUAUAUAUAUAUAUAUACAUUCAUAUUUGAGCUUCUUCCAGCCUACAAAUUUCUUUUCACCACCACACAUAUUGUGUGCAGCAGCCCCUGUAGGGGCCAGGGUAUUGUGUAACAAGAAUGGUCAAACACAAUUUUACCGUGUCUAGCAAGGCAGAGUGCAAUACUUAUAUAUAUCAGAACAAGCAAUGUGCCCAAGUGCCUGAUGAUAAGGAAGAAAUGUGUCCUCGAUCAAGAAAAACCAGUUUAAUGCGCACACUGGGAGCAGAGCAUUACACAGAUAGCGCUUUCUCCCGGCCAUGUGAAUUUAAGGAACCCCUGCUGGUAACUGAGAUUCUUCGCAGACAAUCAGACCAGAAACGAAACGUUGUAAAUUCCUGAGGUACCGUCUGACGUGAGAUACAUCCUCACAUUCUGCACAAAACCAAGAAGGGAAAGAUACCAUGUAAGCAUCUCAGCUCCCGUACAACAAAUGCCAUUUCAAGCAUCAUUUAUUAUGCUGCCUUUCACAGACUUUUACAGUCCUCAAUAUGGUUAGCAAUUCCAGCUGACUCGUAAAGCGGUUUUAAAAUUCAUCACUGAAAAGAAUGUUUAUCUCCGUGUUUUCUCCAGUUUGGGAGUAAAAUUAGAGUCUUAAAA